rnacentral:rRNA from 1 species
CCGUUCAAUACUGCGGGGCUCGAGGGCAGAAGAGGGGGGUGGAAUUGCUGGUGUAGUGGUGAAAUGCGUAGAUAUCAGCAGGAACACCUGUGGCGAAAGCGGCCCCCUGGUCUGCUCCUGACACUCAGACGCGAAAGCUAGGGGAGUGAACGGGAUUAGAAACCCCGGUAAUCCUAGCCGUAAACGAUGGAUGCUAGGUGUGGGUGGUAUUGACCCCAUCCGUGCCGAAGCCAACGCGUUAAGCAUCCCGCCUGGGGACUACGGCCGCAAGGUUAAAACUCAAAGGAAUUGACGGGGACCCGCACAAGCAGCGGAGCGUGUGGUUUAAUUCGAUGCUACACGAAGAACCUUACCCAGGUUUGACAUGCAGGUAGUAGUGAAGCGAAAGCGGAACGAUCCUUCGGGAAGCCUGCACAGGUGCUGCAUGGCUGUCGUCAGCUCGUGCCGUGAGGUGUUUGGUUAAGUCCGCUAACGAGCGCAACCCCUGUCGUCAGUUACAUGUGUCUGGCGAGACUGCCGGUCUUAAACCGGAGGAAGGUGGGGAUGACGUCAAGUCAGCAUGGCCUUUAUAUCUGGG